rnacentral:rRNA from 1 species
UGAACGCUAGCGGCAGGCCUAAUACAUGCAAGUCGAGGGGUAACAGGUGUAGCAAUACAUGCUGACGACCGGCGCACGGGUGCGUAACACGUAUGCAACCUACCCAUUACUGGAGGAUAGCCCGAAGAAAUUCGGAUUAAUACUCCAUAGUAUAGUGAAGAGGCAUCUCUUUAUUAUUAAAACUCCGGUGGUAAUGGAUGGGCAUGCGUUGCAUUAGCUAGUGGUGAGGUAACGGCUCACCAAGGCUACGAUGCAUAGGGGAUCUGAGAGGAUUAU